rnacentral:RNase_P_RNA from 1 species
GGAGUCGGACAAACCGUCGCUGCGGGUCUGCGACCCGGAGAGGAAAGUCCGGGCUCCACAGGGCAGAACGCUGGGUAACACCCAGGAAGGGCGACCUUCGGAAAGCGCCACAGAAAACAAACCGCCGCUUCCGCGGCAAGGGUGAAACGGUGGGGCAAGAGCCCACCAGAGGUUGCGGCGACGCAGCCUGCUAGGCAUGCCCCGUUCGGAGCAAGACCAAAUAGGGAAGGAGGCCGGCCCGGCCGUAUGCCUUCCGGGUAGGUUGCUUGAGGGCGCGGGCAACCGCGCUCCUAGAGAAAUGACGGUUACGUGCGCGCGGCGCAUGACAGAACCCGGCUUACAGUCCGGCUCCCGCA